AAACAUGGCGGCGUGCUUACACAUGCAGUCGAACGAAGCACUUGCAGCAGACUGGAGAGCUUGCUCAAAGGGAAGCAGCAUUUUGACUGAGUGGCGGACGGGUGAGUAACGCGUGGAUAACCUGCCUCAUACAGGGGGAUAACAGUUGGAAACGGCUGUUAAUACCGCAUAAGCGCACGAAACCGCAUGGUUUUGUGUGAAAAACUCCGGUGGUAUGAGAUGGGUCCGCGUCUGAUUAGCUAGUUGGCAGGGUAACGGCCUACCAAGGCGACGAUCAGUAGCCGGCCUGAGAGGGUGUACGGCCACAUUGGGACUGAGACACGGCCCAAACUCCUACGGGAGGCAGCAGUGGGGAAUAUUGCACAAUGGGGGAAACCCUGAUGCAGCGACGCCGCGUGGGUGAAGAAGUAUUUCGGUAUGUAAAGCCCUAUCAGCAGGGAAGAAAAUGACGGUACCUGACUAAGAAGCCCCGGCUAACUACGUGCCAGCAGCCGCGGUAAUACGUAGGGGGCAAGCGUUAUCCGGAUUUACUGGGUGUAAAGGGAGCGUAGGUGGCGUGCCAAGUCAGGAGUGAAAACCCAGGGCCCAACCCUGGGACUGCUCUUGAAACUGGCAGGCUUGAGUGCUGGAGAGGUAAGCGGAAUUCCUAGUGUAGCGGUGAAACGCGUAAAUAUUACGAGGAACACCAGUGGCGGAAGCGGUUUACUGAACAGUGACUGACACUGAGGCUCGAAAGCGUGUUGAGCNACA
rnacentral:rRNA from 1 species